UACGUAGGGGGCGAGCGUUGUCCGGAAUUAUUGGGCGUAAAGAGCGUGUAGGCGGUUCGGUAAGUCUGCCGUGAAAACCUGGGGCUCAACCCCAGGCGUGCGGUGGAUACUGCCGGGCUAGAGGGUGGUAGAGGCGAGUGGAAUUCCGUGGUGAGCGGUGAAAUGCGCAGAUAUCGGGAGGAACACCAGUAGCGAAGGCGGCUCGCUGGGCCAUACCUGACGCUGAGGAGCGAAAGCGUGGGGAGCAACAG
rnacentral:rRNA from 1 species